rnacentral:rRNA from 1 species
UAAUACGUAGGGUGCAAGCGUUGUCCGGAAUUAUUGGGCGUAAAGAGCUCGUAGGCGGUUUGUCGCGUCUGCUGUGAAAUCCCGAGGCUCAACCUCGGGCCUGCAGUGGGUACGGGCAGACUAGAGUGCGGUAGGGGAGAUUGGAAUUCCUGGUGUAGCGGUGGAAUGCGCAGAUAUCAGGAGGAACACCGAUGGCGAAGGCAGAUCUCUGGGCCGUAACUGACGCUGAGGAGCGA